UGCCAGGCGCGGGCCGGCGGGGCGGACGCGAGCCCCGCGCCCGGGUCCCCGCAGCCGCGACGGGGACCGGGGGCCGGUGGGCCGGGGGCGAGAGACGGGCUGGGGCGCGCGGCCCGUCGCGUUCAUUUCCUUAAGAAAGCGGGCGGCGCGGUCGGAAGGACGAUUUUGGCCCCGGCCGCCUUCCCCCUCCCCCCACCCCGCCCCGUACCCGGUUUUCUGCUAGAAGCGGGCUCGGGAGCUCUGAGCCCCAAGUGUACGCUCUUGUCUUUGAUGGUAUCGACCAAGUGCGGUUUCAAAUUCAGUUGCCCCGACUGAGGCCGGUUUCCUGUCUGUGUGCGCAGUGGAUGGAAGGACCGCGCCGGGCCUUUAUGCCUCUGCACGUAGACAUUUGGAGAAAAAUCAAAGAGUGCAGUGUCCCAGUCGGCUAAAUGGGCUUGUCUUCUGCCAGGAGGGACACAGUCCUGCAGGACAGAACAAAUGUUGGAUCUCCCAGGAAGCUCUUCGUCAAAACAUCCCUUGCCCUUUUGUUUUUGUUUUUGAAUUAAAAGAUGUGUUUUCUUUCCUCUCA